UACGAAAGGGGCUAGCGUUGUUCGGAUUUACUGGGCGUAAAGCGCACGUAGGCGGCUUGGCAAGUUGGGGGUGAAAUCCCCGGGCUCAACCCGGGAACUGCCUUCAAGACUGCUAGGCUAGAGGAUGCGAGAGGUUGGCGGAAUUCCGAGUGUAGAGGUGAAAUUCGUAGAUAUUCGGAAGAACACCAGUGGCGAAGGCGGCCAACUGGCGCAUUUCUGACGCUGAGGUGCGAAAGCGUGGGGAGCAAACAGG
rnacentral:rRNA from 1 species